rnacentral:rRNA from 1 species
UACAGAGGGUGCGAGCGUUAAUCGGAAUUACUGGGCGUAAAGCGUGCGUAGACGGUCAAGUAAGUCGGGUGUGAAAGCCCCGGGCUCAACCUGGGAAUUGCAUUCGAGACUGCGUGGCUAGGGUGCGGAAGAGGGAAGCGGAAUUUCCGGUGUAGCGGUGAAAUGCGUAGAUAUCGGAAGGAACACCAGUGGCGAAAGCGGCGCACUGGACCACAACUGACGCUGAGGCGCGAAAGCUAGGGGAGCAAACAGG